rnacentral:pre_miRNA from 1 species
CAUCUACUCCCUCCGAUCCAUAUUAAUUGUCUCAAAUUUGCCUAAAUAUGGAUGUAUCUAUGCCUAAAAAGCGUCUAGAUACAUGUAAUAUUUCGACAAUUAAUAUGGAUUGGAGGGAGUAGCAU